GCCCCCGUAGCUCAGCAGGAUAGAGCGGCGGUUUCCUAAACCGUAGGUCACACGUUCAAGUCGUGUCGGGGGCACCA
rnacentral:tRNA from 1 species